rnacentral:rRNA from 1 species
AUUGAACGCUGGCGGCAUGCUUUACACAUGCAAGUCGAACGGUAACAGGGUGCUUGCACCGCUGACGAGUGGCGAACGGGUGAGUAAUGCGUCGGAACGUGCCGAGUAGUGGGGGAUAACGCAGCGAAAGUUGUGCUAAUACCGCAUACGUACUGAGGUAGAAAGUGGGGGACCUUCGGGCCUCACGCUCUUCGAGCGGCCGACGUCUGAUUAGCUAGUAGGUGAGGUAAGAGCUCACCUAGGCGACGAUCAGUGGCGGGUCCGAGAGGAUGAUCCGCCACACUGGGACUGAGACACGGCCCAGACUCCUACGGGAGGCAGCAGUGGGGAAUUUUGGACAAUGGGCGCAAGCCUGAUCCAGCCAUGCCGCGUGUCUGAAGAAGGCCUUCGGGUUGUAAAGGACUUUUGUCAGGGAGGAAAUCCUAGUGGCUACUAACUGCUGGGGAUGACAGUACCUGAAGAAUAAGCACCGGCUAACUACGUGCCAGCAGCCGCCGUAACAC